AUACUCACUACGUUUUACUAUCAACCACACUAGUCAAAUCAUCGUAUUCUUACUUUAUCACGAUGAGCAAUAGAAUCGCUUUUCUUCUUCUAUCGGCAGCCGUGUUAAUGGCCAUGUGUGUCUAUCAGARCGAYGCAUUUACUGGAGGGCUUCCUAUUGGGAACGGCAAAAGAACACUUCCAGAAAUUAUCAAGGCAAAACAGGAGAGAGCAGUCCAGAAUAUCUGUGAUGCGGCAAGAAUCAUUGGAUGCAGUCGAUUAAAGAUCAAUAGAUGUACGCGGAAGCUCGAAAACGAAAUCUAAGAUUUGAAACAUAUUUUCUUUUCUUGAUCCAUAUCUAUAGAAGAUCUAUUCAAAUCCAGACAUAACUUUUAACUUGUAGUACCCCAUAUAGUUAGCAUGUAAAAAAUAUGGUCUGAUUAGAUAAGUUAAUAAAAUUUAUUGAGCUUA